rnacentral:rRNA from 2 species
UGGGGAAUAUUGCACAAUGGAGGGAACUCUGAUGCAGCGACGCCGCGUGAACGAAGAAGGCUUUCGAGUCGUAAAGUUCUUUUAUAUGGGAAGAUAAUGACGGUACCAUAAGAGAAAGCCCCGGCUAACUACGUGCCAGCAGCCGCGGUAAUACGUAGGGGGCUAGCGUUGUCCGGAAUCACUGGGCGUAAAGGGUUCGCAGGCGGAAAUGCAAGUCAGGUGUAAAAGGCAGUAGCUUAACUACUGUAAGCAUUUGAAACUGCAUAUCUUGAGAAGAGUAGAGGUAAGUGGAAUUUUUAGUGUAGCGGUGAAAUGCGUAGAUAUUAAAAAGAAUACCGGUGGCGAAGGCGACUUACUGGGCUCAUUCUGACGCUGAGGAACGAAAGCGUGGGUAGCAAACAGG